GUCCCGACGUUCGGCCGGCGCGUACGCGAGCGUGCCGUCGCCGGGACCGGAGUUUCGUCCUCUUAAAAGCGUCCUAGUGUUUCUCUUCCGUAUCCUCUCCACUUCUGCCUUGUCUGAGCUGUGACUCCGGCCGUUUCCAUCAUGCAUGGCGGCUUGUUGCUUGGAGUGAAGACGCGGUUGUGGAGAAGGUCUUAUGCGGUGGAG
rnacentral:lncRNA from 1 species